rnacentral:rRNA from 1 species
UACGGGGGGGGCAAGCGUUGUUCGGAAUUACUGGGCGUAAAGGGCUCGUAGGUGGCCAACUAAGUCAGACGUGAAAUCCCCAGGCUCAACUUGGGAACUGCGUCUGAUACUGGAUGGCUUGAAUUCGGGAGAGGGAUGCAGAAUUCCAGGUGUAGCGGUGAAAUGCGUAGAUAUCUGGAGGAAUACCGGUGGCGAAGGCGGUUCUCUGGGCCGAAAUUGACGCUGAGGAGCGAAAGCGUGGGGAGCAAACAGG